GGCAAAAAUCAGUUUUUCAAGCAUUUCGAAGAGUCGAUCAACGUCCUCCCGUAGUGAUCCCUCCUGGGCUGGUCUGUUUAGUGGGGACCUUCCUCUCCUCAUGUUUUCUUACAUACUUUACAUGACAAUAGUUUGAGAUUCGAAUUGCAUUAAAUUUAUUAUAACCCUAUGUGCAAUGAAUGAUUCUGAGAAAUUCGGCUUUGAUACUAACUUUAAAGACCCAAACCCCAUUCUAGGGAUUUCGAGCAUUUAGCUCGAUUAUAAUAAUUUAGUAAUUAUGAAAUUAUCAUUGCACAUGAGAAUUAAAAAUUUAAAUAUUACAUUUCUUGCACGUUUACUUAGAAAUACCUAAAUAGGAGCUACUGGAAUUUUUAGAACUUAAAACAAAGAUAACUACUCAAUUCGAAUACGGUGGACUAGAUAGGGACGAUCUCCUAAUCUAUUCUCUCAUUGUUUUGGAUUUGGAUUUGGAUUUGGAUCUCAAACAUCUUGAUCUGAAAUGGUAAUAAGAAGGGGGUAAGUAACACUAGCUCAAUAAGAAUGCCAAAAACCUUACCACCAACACGGUAACCAAAUGAUUGUAGAAAACUAUAAAACAACCGAUAGAAUACUUAUUUUGUAUUAAAAACCAUGCUGGUGUGGUCGCACCCUUCCUUUUUAUGGAAAAUAGUUUAUUACUUAUUUCCUUAUUAGACAACUUUCAUGCACAACAUUUAGAUAUAUUCAGGAAUAUAAUAAAAUGCAAUUAAUUGUUUACCAUCUCCUUACCCAUCUUUUAGUAUUAUUUUCGUCCACCGGUAUUUAUGGGCCGCCAAUAGAGAUUCUUCGUACUAGUGGAUACCUACAUUUCUUUCACAAAUAUCACCCGUCCCACACCGCGUCUGGUAAUGGGCACCACUUGAACCGGUCACUCCAUAUCCUGUUCGAUAUGAGUGUCGCUUUUAUUGGCCGUUCUCAUACCCCGUUGGUAUAGAUGCCAUUCACAAUCUUCCAAUCCCGUCUAAUAUGGGACUUUCCAAUCCCGUACGAUUGAGAAUCCUAUCCAUGAUAGGAAUCACCCUAUGUACUCCCCCUCCUGAUAUCCGGUGACGGUUUUAUUCACCUCAUUGCCCGAUUUUAUUUUCAUUAACAAACUUGCUCCGCAUCAUGCAUAUUCCCAAACAAGCCCAUUCCAUUUUUCAUUUUUAAUUAUUGAGAUGCAGCGCAUGCAUAAAAAGAAAAAAUAUUAAUGCUAGAAUACGUAAUAUGUAAUUUGGUGUGCAUCGAAUAGGUUAAAACAAAUAUAAUGGAAUUAAAAUACCUUAAAAUAUCACAUGACGAAAUAAAGUAAAUUCAAUUAGAUUCAGGUAAUACAAAAUAAAGUGGAAUGUAAUAAAGUAAGAAUGUUUUAAAUGAAAUAGAAUGUAUAGAAUAUCAUAGGAAAAUAAAAUUAUAUGAACCAAAACAAAACAAAUAAAAAUAGAGCAAUAUAUUCACAAGUAUAUAUAUGGAAUAGGUUAAGGAAAGAAAAAGAUGGAAUAAAUUAGAAUGACAAUCAGCGUUUUGUUAGCUCAAUCAACAACCUGGAAGAUUAAAUUAAGCAACACGCGGCACGGGUUAGAUUUAGGUUUAGUCAAGUGUAUUCAUACAUAUGCCUAUAUAUACACAUACCACUAUAUUUAUUACUAUCACUAUUAUUAUUAUUAUUAUUUUAUUAAUAUUAUUAUUAUGAUUAUUAUUAUAUAUAUUUUUCUAUCUUUUUUUUUAUCUUCCAGUAACUGUUACGAAGGGAAGGGUUUGGGCAUCCUUACACAAUUGGAAUGACGGGGAUAUCAUUCCUCGUAGUUGUCGGUCGAGGUGGUGCUCCUCACUCUCAGUUCCCACCAUUUCCUCCCUAUUUCCAUUUUUUUUAUGCGAAUGAAAAAACCAAACCUUCAAUGCAUACGGGAAGGGAAAGGGGACAAGGGAAGGAGAACGAGCUCACCGAAAUCGGGUCCCGGUUUCGGAUCGCAGACACGCGCCUCCCCCUACUCGACUACAGUUUUCUUGAGUCAAUCUAACGUAGAAAGGGUUAAAAAGGGGUCAGAAUGUAUAAAUAGGAGAAAAAAAGGAAAAUCGAGCUUACCAGCGUUAUCCUCAGCUUCUGGCACUGCAGUGC
rnacentral:lncRNA from 1 species